rnacentral:rRNA from 1 species
GAUCCUGGCUCAGGAUGAACGCUAGCUACAGGCUUAACACAUGCAAGUCGAGGGGCAGCAUGAACUUAGCUUGCUAAGUUUGAUGGCGACCGGCGCACGGGUGAGUAACACGUAUCCAACCUGCCGAUGACUCGGGGAUAGCCUUUCGAAAGAAAGAUUAAUACCCGAUGGCAUAAUUCCUCCGCAUGGUAGAAUUAUUAAAGAAUUUCGGUCAUCGAUGGGGAUGCGUUCCAUUAGG